rnacentral:rRNA from 1 species
UAUGGCGAAUGUGAGAUGCAGUGUAUGGAAUGUCAAAUUUCUAGUAUGAGAAAUUAACGAUUUAAGUCCUUCUUAAAUGAGGCCAUUUACCCAAAGAGGGUGCCAGGCCCGUAUAACGUUAAUGAUUACUAGAUGACAUUUCCAAAGAGUCGUGUUGCUUGAUAGUGCAGCACUAAGUGGGUGGUAAACUCCAUCUAAAACUAAAUAUAACCAUGAGACCGAUAGUAAACAAGUACCGUGAGGGAAAGUUGAAAAGAACUCUGAAUAGAGAGUUAAAUAGUACGUGAAACUGCUUAGAGGUUAAGCCCGAUGAACCUGAAUAUCCAUUAUGGAAAAUUCAUCAUUAUGAUUUUAAUAUUUGUAAUAUUAUAAUAAUGGUGUGCAUUUUUUCCAUAUAAGGACAUUGUAAUCUAUUAACAAACACAUUUAUUAUAAGAUCAAUUGCUUUAGUUUAUUCAAAUUAGUUUUGCUUGCAAAUUUAACAUAGAAUAAAUGCUUUUGAUUUGAUAAAGUGUCGAUAGAUUUAUUAUAUAUAGUGCUUGAAUAUAUUUAUAUAUUCUAUAAUAGCGUAUUGAUCAAUGAUUUUUAUGUUCAUUAUAUGCACUUAUAUGAUUAACAAUGCGAAAGAUUCAGGAUACCUUCGGGACCCGUCUUGAAACACGGACCAAGGAGUCUAACAUAUUUGCAAGUUAUUGGGAAUUAAAAACCUAAUAGCGAAAUUAACAUAACUUAUAUAAUGGGAUUAGUUUUUAUGUCUAUAUGUAUGUAUAGUCUAUUAAUUCAAUCCCGGGGCGUUCUAUACAGUUAUGUAUAAUAAUAUUUAUAUUAUUUAUACCUCUAACUAGAGCGUACCUUGAGCAUAUAUGCUGUGACCCGAAAGAUGGUGAACUAUACUUGAUCAGGUUGAAGUCAGGGGAAACCCUGAUGGAAGACCGAAACAGUUCUGACGUGCAAAUCGAUUGUCAGAAU